GCACCUCUUGCGAAAUGAGGUCGCGAAAUAUUUUUCCUUCUUCCGUGCGGAAUUUUGACAUUUGGACGCGAAAUUUUGACAAUCAAGCUUCAGGCAAUUUGCGACCAGCUAGCGGUACCUCUUGCACGACCAUCAACUACACUGUAUGGACCUCUCACGAUUAAACAGAACUGCGACCGGUGCUACCACUGCGGAACCGUUCAUUUUGCUGUACGUGCUUAUCAACUGUCAACGGGGCGGUCAGAUUUGGUUAGCAAGGAUUUGGUUAUUUGGUUGCAGUACAUAUGAAAAUUAUUGCUUCAUGCUACUAUCUAACAAUGGAAUGGAGACACUAAAUUCAGAAAUAAAGGAUCCACAAUGCAAUGCAUGUUACCUCCAGCCGAUGAAGAUUUCGAAAGACGAAUGUAGCGAUUACUACUAGAAGCAGAAGGUUGUGUGCCAUUACUGGCUGAGUUGGGUCAGGAAGAUGUAGCGGAAACUAGCUAAGAUGACUCCCAGUAGUUGAUGAGCUCCGAGGGAAAGAAAGAACAGAGUCCAAGGAAUGAAUAAAGAAGAAAGAGAGCACUACGUUUCUCAUCUAUGACUGGUGAUUUCGAGACGAUCAGCAAUUAUUUCCAGUUAGAAGAGCUAAUGGUAGACCAAAUCGAUUGAUUUGAAAACAUUGGUGAGUGGGAAUGAAUUUUUUUGCUGCUUUCGACGUUGAUAAAAAAGUAAAUCAAGCGUCCAGGAACUAUAGGGUUAAGAUGAUAUUCAGCGAUUAUUACCAUCCUGAACGAUGUGUAUACAAGCUGAAAUUAUUUGUAUUGCUCUACGAAGAAAAUCGUCAGUAGGGGAGACCGGGGCUAGUUGGCGGUGUUUUCAGUUUUCAUUUUUUACCGCUUUGAUUUAUAUGUUGACACUCUAAGUUCUCACCCAAUUCUGAAGAGUCAUUUCGGGUGAAUGGGGAAUCUCACGUCACUCGAAUCGACUCUCAGAAUUGGGUGUAAAAAGUCACGUAAAGUGAGGUGAGUUUAGUCACCUCACGUCACACGCCGCGCGGAAUAAGGCCGAUUGUAAAAACGAACACGUCGUAUAAAAGGGCAUACUGAUAGCAACAUCUCUGAAUUGUUUGUUGCAUUGCGUUUGUUUUUAUAGACACAAAUAUUUGACGCGGAAAACCCGUCAACUUACCCCGACCCCGGGGUAAUUUGGUGGUAUGUAUGGGUACGCUACAAAAUAAGUAAUCAAAUGGAGAUUCAAUUACUGUAGGGGCCCUUAUGGAACGUGCUGAAUAUAUUUUCAAGAAAACCAUAUUAACCGACAUUUGCUAUUAUAUUUCAGUCUCAGUACCCUGGCAUUUUGACUUCUACGCGUACUCCAUAUUCAAAAGUAACUUUUCGAAAUUCUUCAGAAGAUUGGCCGAAGAAAAUGUCCCCCGCAUUGACGAGAUACACAAAAAGAUGUUCUUACUUUGGAGUGAAUUCCAGAAAUGAAAAUAUUUGAUGACUAUUUUUGCCAACUUACACCAACCUCAUACUUUAUAAAAAAAAACUAUUUAAAAAUAACUUUUGUUCGCGGGUAGAUGUAAUAUCUAUACGGAUACUGAAAGUUCUUUUCACGCACUAUCGAAAAAUAUAAUCAUUCGGGAAAAUUGAUUGAAAAUCACCCUAAAAACACAGUGUUUAAAAUUUAGAAAAUUUACUUGCUAAGCUCGAAAACAUAAUAUCGUUCACAACUUCUUUAAAACAAAAUGUUUUGCAACAAAAAUACAUUGGAUAAUGGGUUUCACAUAACUUGUACACAUCGAGAGGUAGCGCUAUAUGUCUAAUAGAAACCGGAACCGGAAAAAUGGAUUCCGUAAACUUACCCCACCCGGAACUUGCCCCGGGCUCCCCUACUUAGGCUAGAUUCAACUGGGUAGUUGCUGGUAGUCCGCGAUAAAAAUAUUAUUUACGAAAGGAUACUGAUAUUUCAAGCUUUUUUUCGUAACAAGCUGAAAAUAAUAUAUCGAUAGCACACGAAAACAAUGUUAAGCCGGGGGUUCGCAAAAGCUCAAGGCGGUUUAAAAGGGGUCCGUAGGAUGAAAAAGGUUUAGAACCGCUGCCCAUAAUAAAUAAUAUCUCAAAUUUUCUACAAAACUAGGAAAAACAGGGCAA